AGCGUUUUGGAUUACGAGAACGAGAGUGGACUUCUAUCUCAAUCUGAAAUUAACACAACAGACAGGCCCGAGACACCUCCGACUAACGGUAAGAAGAAGAAAAGAAAAAAAAAGUAUAAAUUUUAAAUAAAUAAGUAAAAUAAAUCUAAACCCGUCUCUCUCCAUUUUGUAGAGUGCAGACCAGAACCCGCUCACAAGGUGAACAAAGCUACUUGUACCAGCGAAGACGGUGUCUACCCACUACUUGUCAUACCCGACAUGCCAGAAAAGCAAGGCAGACAACCGGCUAACACUAAAGAAGCUGACACUGACGGAGGACCAUCUGGAUCCAAAAUUAACAUACCAGAAGCGCCAGAGAAAGCAGUGACUGAUGACUCCAGGCCAUACCCCAAACUGAAGCAUUCCAGUAGAAGAAGUGGCAGGAGGAAUACGAGGAGAUCAGCUUCAGGACGUCGGGGCCUAUCGAGAGGGAAGGUUGUGAAGACUUUUUGGAAAAUACUGACUUCUGUUUGUGAAUUGACCUCAGCUUUGACUAGGUAGAGUCGUGUGUGUUGUAAUGAUGAAUGAUCAAGGGGAAAAUUCGAUCUUGCAGUCAGCUCUGCUAUCUUUACAGUCUACGGUUGAAGUGUUAAGAGAUAUCCCUUACCCGCAAACUUUACCUCCACUGGUUGAAAUACAACAACAAUUAGAGCUUUCAAACGAGCCUCAGGCUCGCCACGAACCUUCUGAUUUACAGAAUUUGGAAAGUAUCGAUGUAGCCCUUCAGCGUUUAAGAGAAGCUCCGUCCAGUCCUCCAUCCCCCGAGCUUUUACCUCCACCGAUUGAAUUACAGCCUUUAGAGGUUUCAAACGAGUCUCAGGCUCACCACGAACCUUCUGAUUUUCAAAAUUUGGAAAGUAUUGAUGUAGCCCUUCAACGUUUAAGAGAAGCUUUGUCCAGUCCUCCACUCCCGGAGCUCUUACCUCCUCCCUCUCAACCCUGCGUCGUUUGUCCGUCUAAUGUGCCAUUACCUCGGCCGACUCAGGUUCCCUCUGUUCGUCCAACCGAAGAUUCCGUGCCUGGCCCGUCUAACCUUUUACCCGUAAACGAUCCGUUACCCGGUCCGUCCUCGUACUUCCCACCUGCAACACCAGUCGCUCAGAACGAUGUGGGUCAAAAUCCUGAAUCCCCCCAGGAGGGUCUCCAGAGACAGGUUUAAUAACAUUGAAAUAAGACAGAUGCUAAAUUUCAACUUUCCCAAUCCUGUGAGUAAUUACGCAGAGUUUUAUCUUAAUGUGAUGGAGACUCUCCAAGCAGCGGUUGAACGGGCUGUAUCCUAUGCCAGACAGGGGGAUGUGCUGCAACUAGAAUUAAGGGGGGAAAGAUCAAACAGCGCCUCUGUCAUAGUCACACACAAUGGUGGUCUACCUCUAAACCAUGUUCAAGAGGCUCUCGACCGCCUAGUGCAAUUAAACAUGACCAUUAUGCCGGAAGAUGAGAUGGAGUUACUUGUGCAGGUGGUACGUAGUCCUAGAGGGGGUGUUAAAAGAAAACUGCAAACCAUCUUUGACGAUGAAAUCUGCAGGAAAAAAGCCCAUUGCCUGAACAUUGUCAUCAAUCCUGGCAACCAGCUCUGCUUUGCCAUUAACCUCGCUCAGCUUUUAAACCGUGAAUUAACCACGCGUCAGGCCACUGAGCACGCUAAAGUGCUACAGAAUCAUGCGGGGUUAGCGGACGACACGCCUGUGACUUUUAAUGAUAUUAUCAAAUUUGAACAGGCUUUAGAUUGCAAAAUCGUCGUCUUCUUCAGAGCAGACGGUGAGCCGGCCCUGUCUAAAUUCCAAACAUCUGAAGGAAUGCAUCCUAAAACCCUCCAUCUCUUCCUCCAUCAGAACCAUUACUAUGGUAUCACCAACCUGAAAACAUUUCUAGGUGCACGGUACAUCUGCGGUUACUUCCACACAGGUUUUACUAACUUAUGGCAGCAUCAGUGCCCGAGCCGUUGUUCUGUAUGCUUCACAUCAGACU